rnacentral:rRNA from 1 species
AGAGCGAACGCUGGCGGCAGGCCUAAUACAUGCAAGUCGAACGGAUCCUUCGGGAUUAGUGGCGGACGGGUGAGUAACACGUGGGAACGUGCCCUUUGGUUCGGAACAACUCAGGGAAACUUGAGCUAAUACCGAAUGUGCCCUUCGGGGGAAAGAUUUAUCGCCAUUGGAGCGGCCCGCGUCUGAUUAGCUAGUUGGUGAGGUAAAGGCUCACCAAGGCGACGAUCAGUAGCUGGUCUGAGAGGAUGAUCAGCCACACUGGGACUGAGACACGGCCCAGACUCCUACGGGAGGCAGCAGUAGGGAAUCUUGCGCAAUGGGCGAAAGCCUGACGCAGCCAUGCCGCGUGAAUGAUGAAGGUCUUAGGAUUGUAAAAUUCUUUCAGCGGGACGAUAAUGACGGUACCCGCAGAAGAAGCCCGGCUAACUUCGUGCCAGCAGCCGC